rnacentral:rRNA from 1 species
AGAACGAACGCUGGCGGCAGGCUUAACACAUGCAAGUCGAACGCCCCGCAAGGGGAGUGGCAGACGGGUGAGUAACGCGUGGGAAUCUACCCAGAUCUUCGGAACAACUGAGGGAAACUUCAGCUAAUACCGGAUACGCCCUACGGGGGAAAGAUUUAUCGGUUCUGGAUGAGCCCGCGUUGGAUUAGCUAGUUGGUGGGGUAAUGGCCUACCAAGGCGACGAUCCAUAGCUGGUCUGAGAGGAUGAUCAGCCACACUGGGACUGAGACACGGCCCAGACUCCUACGGGAGGCAGCAGUGGGGAAUAUUGGACAAUGGGCGGAAGCCUGAUCCAGCAACGCCGCGUGAGGGAUGACGGCCUUCGGGUUGUAAACCUCUUUCACCAUUGACGAAGUUGCAUCUUUUUGGGUGUGGUGACGGUAGGUGGGAAGAAGCACCGGCCAACUACGUGCCAGCAGCCGC